rnacentral:lncRNA from 1 species
UAGGCUAAUGGAAUGGUGUUUAUAACAUGUGCCAAAGGAGCCUAUUUAUAGCCUUCAGGUAGCUAUUCCCGAGCUUUAAGUUUAAUUGUGCAGACCAAAACGCCACAGCUUUGUGUUUACUUUUCUUCCUAGAGUUGAUGUUGCGACACACCAGGACUUGUGUCGCAACAUAGAAGUCAGUAUGCUCCUUGGGGAUGUCUUCAAGGGUAUGUCGUGACAUC